rnacentral:rRNA from 1 species
UACAGAGGUCUCAAGCGUUGUUCGGAUUCAUUGGGCGUAAAGGGCGCGUAGGCGGCAAGGCAAGUCGGGUGUGAAAGCUCGGGGCUUAACCCCGAAAGGGCACUCGAAACUGCGUUGCUAGAGGGCCGGAGAGGAGAUCGGAAUUCACGGUGUAGCAGUGAAAUGCGUAGAGCUCGUGAGGAAGACCGGUGGCGAAGGCGGAUCUCUGGACGGCCCCUGACGCUGAGGCGCGAAGGCUAGGGGAGCAAACGGG